rnacentral:rRNA from 1 species
AGUGGACGCUGGCGGUAGGCCUAACACAUGCAAGUCGAACGGCAGCACAGGAAGAGCUUGCUCUUACGGGUGGCGAGUGGCGGACGGGUGAGGAAUACAUCGGAAUCUACUUUUUCGUGGGGGAUAACGUAGGGAAACUUACGCUAAUACCGCAUACGACCUACGGGUGAAAGCAGGGGAUCUUCGGACCUUGCGCGAUUGAAUGAGCCGAUGUCGGAUUAGCUAGUUGGCGGGGUAAAGGCCCACCAAGGCGACGAUCCGUAGCUGGUCUGAGAGGAUGAUCAGCCACACUGGAACUGAGACACGGUCCAGACUCCUACGGGAGGCAGCAGUGGGGAAUAUUGGACAAUGGGCGCAAGCCUGAUCCAGCCAUACCGCGUGGGUGAAGAAGGCCUUCGGGUUGUAAAGCCCUUUUGUUGGGAAAGAAAAGCAGCAGGUUAAUACCCCGCUGUUCUGACGGUACCCAAAGAAUAAGCACCGGCUAACUUCGUG